rnacentral:rRNA from 1 species
GGAUUAGAUACCCUAUUAUUUAUUAUUUAAAUUUUAAUACCUGAUUAGUAUAAGUUACUUUCUUGAAAUUUAAAGAAUUUGGCGGUAUCUUAAUCUUUUUAGAGGAAUCUGUCCCUUUAUCGAUAUUCCGCGUUGUACCUUACUUAACUUGGGUUGGGUUUAUAUACCGUCGUUUAUUAAAAUCUUUUUAGAGUUAAAUUUUAUUAAUUUUUGAUUUUUAAAAUUAUUCAGAUCAAGGUGUAGCUAAAAUUUAUGUUAAAACAUAAUAAGAUGGUUAAGUGGUGAUGGAUUACAAUGUUAUUUUAUAGUUGGAUUAUUAUUUGUAAUAUUUAAUAUGAAAAUGGAUUUAAAUGUAAAUUUAUGUAGAAUAUUAUUUUGAUUAGAGUACUAAGAUAUGUACAUAUCGCCCGUCGCUCUCAUUAUUUAAUAUGAGAUAAGUC